AUCACCACUUUUCCGGCCCGGCCCAACGAGCAGUUGAUCUGGGACGAGGGCAAAUCCCCACCGGCGGAGCGGGCAACGGCGGCGAGGUUCUCCGUCCGCCGCCGCCGCCGCCGACUGCUGCACGGCGCCGAGAGGACAGGUGACAAAUAGGGGGCAGAUCCCACAAGGAAUCACAUGGAUCAUUAUCAUUACCCAUAUCAAAGCUUUCCUGCUCCUGGACGCCAUUCAUGCCAUGGGCUGAUGGAGAGCCUUGCUUCUCUGUCUUCAUCUUAUCCUGGUCCAAGGCCACUGAGCAGGCAUUGGUGCCUGCUAUGCCGCAUCCAUUCCCAAGCGGUAGGCUGGUGUUGAGUGCCCAUGACUGAUCAAAUUGUUGUGAAGCCAGCUGCAAGUCUUCGGCUCCACCAUUCAGGAUGUGCGAUAAGAUCAACAUGCCUGAUGCUUCCUGUAGAAAUUACUGAACAAUGGGCUUCAACCCACCCUCAGGGUAGUAUUAUGGUUUAACCCCCAGACUAUGGGCCUUGAAAAGAUAUUCUAUCCCACCAAAGGAAAACGAAGCAGGUCGUGAAGACACGAUUUUUUUGCCACUUGGCAGCACCUGUGGGGCUAAUGGCUUCAUGUUAGGUGACAAGAUUGGUGAAGAUGUUAGCAUUUUACAAGAGAGGAUUAAAGAAUGUUGUUAGCUAUAAUCUAAUGCUAUGGCCGGGGCAGGAUGUUUUGUUUAUCAAGCAGAUGUGCAGAGAUCAGAUCGUGCAUUAUAACCUGAUGAAAUGGAAUAUUUCGAGUUUAGUUCACGAUGUUUGACUCAGGUAGUUCUAAUUUUGAUGUGUUUUUUUCCUUGGUUUAUGUUAAGUGGAAGAUUAUUUCAUUAGAUGUAUUUAUAUUUCAUUAGAUGUACUUUGCUGUGAGGUGGUAAUGUAGUUUGGACGGUUUUCAACUAUUUUUUUUAGUUGCUUACUGCAUUGGCAGUUUGGACUGCAUAUGUACAUAUGGUUCUGACACCGUGAAAUCUCAUGAGUCAAUUGUCUGAAUUUUGCAAUGUUUUUAUAUGAUUUGAAACAAUGGUUAUAUUUUCAGGCACACUUCUUGGGUUUGCAUGAUGUACAAACUUGUUUCAUUUCACCACAUUUUAUUGUCAUGGUCAGAGACUUAGGUUGGCAAAAUGAAGUCAACUGCAGAUGUGGCAGCAGGUUGCUUGUGCCUCAGAGGCAAAGAUUAUCCUUAGCUCCAUCAACUAACAAUUUGUGUAUAAAAUAUAAUAAAUUCCUGCGUUGAGAAAUGCAGAGGUCAAAGUUAAUGGAGUGCACCAUCUCCAAAUUAAAAAAAAAAGAAAAGAAAUGGAUGAAAAAUAAGAAGAGGAGAAAUAGAAAACGAAGAGAAAAUCUCACAUGAUAAUACAGAAUCGUUAUAUGAAUAAUUAAAGACACAUCAUGGAUUGAAAAUUAAAUGUCUUGAGAAACAUGUAGGACCUAUUUUGUGUGAAGUGGAGAUCAUGGCUUAGGUGUACUCCUCAGAUGUUCA